rnacentral:rRNA from 1 species
UACGGGGGGGGCAAGCGUUGUUCGGAAUUACUGGGCGUAAAGGGCUCGUAGGCGGCCAACUAAGUCAGACGUGAAAUCCCUCGGCUUAACCGGGGAACUGCGUCUGAUACUGGAUGGCUUGAGUUUGGGAGAGGGAUGCGGAAUUCCAGGUGUAGCGGUGAAAUGCGUGGAUAUCUGGAGGAACACCGGUGGCGAAGGCGGCAUCCUGGGCCAACACUGACGCUGAGUGAGCGAAAGCCAGGGGAGCAAACGGG